GAGUUUGAACCUGGCUCAGGAUGAACGCUGGCGGCGUGCCUAAUACAUGCAAGUCGAGCGAACCACUUCGGUGGUGAGCGGCGAACGGGUGAGUAACACGUAGGUGAUCUGCCCAUCAGACGGGGACAACGAUUGGAAACGAUCGCUAAUACCGGAUAGGACGAAAGUUUAAAGGUGCUUCUGGCACCGCUGAUGGAUGAGCCUGCGGCGCAUUAGCUAGUUGGUAGGGUAAAGGCCUACCAAGGCGACGAUGCGUAGCCGACCUGAGAGGGUGAACGGCCACACUGGGACUGAGACACGGCCCAGACUCCUACGGGAGGCAGCAGUAGGGAAUCUUCGGCAAUGGGCGAAAGCCUGACCGAGCAACGCCGCGUGAAUGAUGAAGGCCUUCGGGUUGUAAAAUUCUGUUAUAAGGGAAGAACGACUUUAGUAGGAAAUGGCUAGAGUGUGACGGUACCUUAUGAGAAAGCCACGGCUAACUACGUGCCAGCAGCCGCGGUAAUACGUAGGUGGCGAGCGUUAUCCGGAAUUAUUGGGCGUAAAGAGCGCGCAGGUGGUUGAUUAAGUCUGAUGUGAAAGCCCACGGCUUAACCGUG
rnacentral:rRNA from 1 species